rnacentral:rRNA from 1 species
UAAUACAUGCAAGUCGAGCGGACAGAAGGGAGCUUGCUCCCGGAUGUUAGCGGCGGACGGGUGAGUAACACGUGGGUAACCUGCCUGUAAGACUGGGAUAACUCCGGGAAACCGGAGCUAAUACCGGAUAGUUCCUUGAACCGCAUGGUUCAAGGAUGAAAGACGGUUUCGGCUGUCACUUACAGAUGGACCCGCGGCGCAUUAGCUAGUUGGUGAGGUAACGGCUCACCAAGGCGACGAUGCGUAGCCGACCUGAGAGGGUGAUCGGCCACACUGGGACUGAGACACGGCCCAGACUCCUACGGGAGGCAGCAGUAGGGAAUCUUCCGCAAUGGACGAAAGUCUGACGGAGCAACGCCGCGUGAGUGAUGAAGGUUUUCGGAUCGUAAAGCUCUGUUGUUAGGGAAGAACAAGUGCAAGAGUAACUGCUUGCACCUUGACGGUACCUAACCAGAAAGCCACGGCUAACUACGUGCCAGCAGCCGCGGUAAUACGUAGGUGGCAAGCGUUGUCCGGAAUUAUUGGGCGUAAAGGGCUCGCAGGCGGUUUCUUAAGUCUGAUGUGAAAGCCCCCGGCUCAACCGGGGAGGGUCAUUGGAAACUGGGAAACUUGAGUGCAGAAGAGGAGAGUGGAAUUCCACGUGUAGCGGUGAAAUGCGUAGAGAUGUGGAGGAACACCAGUGGCGAAGGCGACUCUCUGGUCUGUAACUGACGCUGAGGAGCGAAAGCGUGGGGAGCGAACAGGAUUAGAUACCCUGGUAGUCCACGCCGUAAACGAUGAGUGCUAAGUGUUAGGGGGUU